rnacentral:rRNA from 1 species
GUGAGAGCAAGAGCCCGGAGAUGGAUUCUGAGACACGAAUCCAGGCCCUACGGGGUGCAGCAGGCGCGAAAACUUUACAAUGCCGGCAACGGCGAUAAGGGGACCUCGAGUGCCAGGUUACAAAUCUGGCUGUCGUGAUGCCUAAAAAGCAUUGCAUAGCAAGGGCCGGGCAAGACCGGUGCCAGCCGCCGCGGUAACACCGGCGGCUCGAGUGGUAACCGUUAUUAUUGGGUCUAAAGGGUCUGUAGCCGGCCGGAUAAGUCUCUUGAGAAAUCCAGCAGCUCAACUGUCAGGCUUUCAGGAGAUACUGUCUGGCUCGAGGCCGGGAGAGGUGAGAGGUACUUCAGGGGUAGGGGUGAAAUCUUGUAAUCCUUGAAGGACCACCAGUGGCGAAGGCGUCUCACCAGAACGGACCUGACGGCAAGGGACGAAAGCUAGGGGCACGAACCGGAUUAGAUACCCGGGUAGUCCUAGCCGUAAACGAUACUCGCUAGGUGUCGGCCACGGUGCGACCGUUGUCGGUGCCGUAGGGAAGCCG